rnacentral:lncRNA from 1 species
AUGAUUCUAUUUCUCUGGCAUUCUACAAAGGAGGAAUUACAGAAGGAAUAAAACAUGGCCAGUGGUUUCUAGGGUUUAGGGGUGCUCUAUUUCAUCAAAGAGAUGAAGCACCGAGGUGUUCUCAGGGGGUGUAACAAUUCUGCAAAGAUGGGCACACAGUUACACAUAUCUGUAAAAACCUGUAAAAUAUAUGACAUAGUGGGAGCCUUGGGCAAUUCACUGAUGACACGUCAGGGUUGGCUUAUCAAUGGCAGUUUAAAUAGUUCAAUAAUUUAAGAUGAUUAUAAUUGAGAAAGUCUUUGUGUCUCUGUGUGUGUGUAAGUAGCCCUAUUGAAGUUUUUUUUUUUUAAUACUUCCCAUCUAAUUUCCCUACAACAAUAAAAGUAUUCUAAAACACUCAGUACAGGGACAGGAGACAUGGCUGAACACUUAAGAGCCUUGACUGCUCUGGCAGAGGACCUGGGUUCCAUUCCCAGCACCCACAUGGCAGCUCCCCACUGUCUGUAACUCCAGUUUCAGAAUACCCAUCACCCUCUUCUGGCCCCUCUAGGCUCCUGCAUUCACAUGUGCAUGCACUUUCCCAGACAUGCACACGCGCGCACACACACACACACACACACACACACACACACAUAAAUACAAACAAUUUUUUUUAAUUAGCGUUUCUUUAUUUGCUUAUUUAUAUGCAAGUGCAUGUGGAAGUCAGAGGACAGCUGUGGGAGUCAGUUCUCCCCUUCUGUCAUGUGGAUCUCAAGGAUCAAACUCAGGUCUUCAAGCUUAGCAACAGGCACUGUUACCCACUAAGCCAUCGUGCUGGCCCAAGUAUAUUCAUUUCUCACAAGCUCCCACCCGCUCGGCUGCCCUCACUUGGUUCAUCCUUGAUUCUCUGAAGAACUAGUAACUCUUCAACUUGUUUAAAAUGCAUCAUGAGUUGUUUGUGGCAAACUGCUUGAAGUCUUGGGCACGUGUGUGUCUUUUGUGCCUACAGUAGAGCUCAACACACAGUAGGUACUCAGCAAGGGUUGCAGGGGAGAGGGGGGGAAGAAAAGAAAAGAAAAGAAAGGAGAGAAAGAGAGAAAGAAAAG